GGGGGGGUGCUGCUUUGGAGAAGCCACAUCUCUAGCUCCGGGGACAGUGAGGGGCGGUGGUCCGGGCUCAGGAAGUGGUUUUUGAAUUACUGAAUCUCUGCCUCGAGGGAUCGUCUCAUUCGGUCUGAUUUUUCAUGCAGCGUUUACGACAUCACUUCACUCUGGGUAGAAACGCUGACAAACUGGCAACAACAGAUGAGGUUGAACUCGCGUGAAGGCAGGUGUCCUGGUCCCGGGCGAGGCUGAGCAAGUCCAGCUAGGGGGACGCGGGACGUGUGCACACUGCCCGGGGGGGGGGGGGCACACCUGCACCUGCUGUGGGCCUUGGACUCUGGAAAUCCGCCUUUGCAAACAAAGUGUGCUCCUUGUACCUAGGAGGUCACAGGCCAGAUGAAAUGUCGGAGUCUGCCGGGGCCGAGCCUUGGCAAGCCAAGAGCCAGGCCUAAGGCUCCUUUACGAAACGUGGCCUCAGCCUCUUGGUCUCAGCCUGGGUCGGUGUCCCUUAGGACAAGGGACCAGCUGAGUCUGAGAACAAAUGCACAGUAUGCCACAUGAAAGGUAUCUGCAGGACCACUGCAAGUCCUUGGGUGACACUCGGGGACAGCAGACACAGAGCCACUACUGUUGGGAGGUGAGUCCCCAUGGGUCUUGUGUCCCUGUGCGUGUGUGAGCCGUCACUGGACGGUUUUCUCAAGGACGCUUGCCUGGAGGACAGCGCCAGGGGCCCCCCAGGGGCCAAGGGUGGCCAGCCCUUAUCGACUGGGGUCUCU